CAGAAUCAGUAAAUUCGAUUUUAAUGUGGGUAUAUUAUCAGUAAACUAAUCAUUAAAUAUUUAUAAUCAAUCAAAAAAUAUUGGCCCCUUUCAUAAUGUUGUUCAAAAAUGAAGGGCACAAUGCUAAUGUUGUCCACUCGAUGGCGCCACAGGACAGCAAAUACUUCAAGAUCUGUUCAAAGACUUGAAAAUGUUUCAUUUAUGUAAAUAAAUCAAAAAUGCAUAUACAUUCAUUCUUUUUUCAUAAACUUUAAUAAAACCCAAUAUAGUAAUUAUGCAAAAACUAUCAUCUCCGAAAUACCAUUACGUUUUUAUCUUAUUUUAAUAGUAUUGACAACAUAUUUCUCAAGUUAUCACGCAUUACUGAAAAAGUGAAGAAGGGACACUAUAUUUGUUAUCUAUUUUCAUGUUGUGCGUAUAAUAAUUUACUUGAAAAGAGACACGUCCAUUGUUUAACUGCAUCAUCUACACAAACCAUUGUGCUUGGACCCCUUAUGAUCACCUGGACUUAAACCACAUUGUUUCAGUUACCUUCUGUGUCUUUGGCCACAACGCUUCAGUGACAGGAAUGUGAAAUAGCAAACAGGGGAACAAAUAAAAGGCAUGACUUUAUUUGCAUCCAGCUAGCCAACUCUAUUACAGGUGUUCCACAGCCAAGACUCUUAUUAGAAUAGAAAAUAGCAAGGGUUCGAAUAAAUAGUUUAUUAAUCGUUUAAUUUCACUUUCUUAAUGAAUAUUGUUCUGUGUAUGUGAUUUCAAAGUCUUGAUGCUUCGGAUUAACCCGUUAAUUGCCGUAUCCCUUAAAACCUGAGUGCCAGAGGAUUACUGUAAAUGCAUGUGCCCGCUGGGCACAGUUUACCUGAUGCCACCGGGGUGGCGUUUGCGCUGAUGGCUUGAGCCCGCCAUCGCUGCUUGCAGCUAUAUUUUUUUAUUAUUAUUAUUAUUAUUAUUAUUUUUUUCCAACGUCUCGGGGGCUUUUGGGGCCCUUAACAUACUCGAAAACUCUUGAAAAUUGGCACACACAUUGGAACCUGCGGCCAUUAGGGCCGGGCAGAGACUGAUACACGGGCGUGGCACAGGGGCUCUACAGCGCCCCCUGGAAUAUGGAGGGCCAUAUAUCAUACAUACUUGCACGUAGACGUAUGAAACUCGGUACACAUAUAGAUCUCAUCAAGCCAAACAACUUUCGUACUGCAUGUCAUAGGCUCCGCCCAACAGGAAGUUGGCUAUUUAGGGUUUAGUAUUCUUAUUUUUCGUCAAAGUUGUGGGGGCUUUUGGGGCCCUUAACAUGCUCAAAAACUCUUGAAAAUUUGCACACACCUUAGAAUCUGUGGCCAUUAGGAGGCUGCAGAGGCUGAGACCCGGGCGUGGCACAGGGGCUCUACGGCGCCCCCUGGAACAUAGUCAGAAAUGUUGAUGUAUAGUUCAAACAUACUUGCACGUAUUCAUAUGAAACUCAGUACACAUAUAGAUCUCAUUGUGCCGAACAACUUUCGUAUUGCAUGUCAUAGGCUCCGCCCAAAAGGAAGUCAGCUAUUUAGAGCUAUGUAAAAAGUGCAUGCUCUGGAAUUUGAUAUACUUGUCAUAGGUUUUUUACCCGAUUGCCACCAAACUUGGUCAACAUGAUCUCAAGACAUUGGGGAUGCAAAAUUGCCAGGGGAUUUUUGAUAUCUCGAAUGGUUUGCUUGUGGCAAGGCGUUGAAAUUAUGGCGAGAAAUGAGAAACAGGAAGUGUCUAAUAACAUCCACAUACAUUUCCUGAUUUUAAUUAAACUUCAUCAAUUUGUUCGUUGUAUGAUGCCGAUCGCAUAUAUGUGACUAUUAGGAGUCAAAAUCAUAGCGCCACCAACUGGCAGCAGGAAGUGUGUCAUUUUCAAAAUGCUUUGAAU
ensembl:lncRNA